GGAUGGGUGGCCGAGUGGCUUAAGGCAGCGGUUUACUAAACCGCCGUCCUGUAAAAAGGACCGUGGGUUCGAAUCCCACCCCAUCCG
rnacentral:tRNA from 1 species